rnacentral:lncRNA from 1 species
AGGAAUUUCAGCCAACAUAAUAAGACAUGAAAAUGGCAUUCGAGGUGUAUUAGACAGACAAGGGGAUGUUAGUGUUUGCAGGAGACUUGGUCUGCCUCAGUGAUGUCAGUCAGCAGUGAUUGUGAUUCCCCAGGGGACACUCGGCAGCAUCUGGAGACAUUUUAGUUUAAACUUCCCCAGUGAUCUGUGAUGUACAGGAGACACUUUCGGUUGUCACACUGGGGGAGGAGGCUGCAUGUCACUGGCAUCUGUUGGGUGACACCUACAAUGCACAGGACAACCACAACAAAUAAUUCAGGCCCAAAUGUUGCUGGUGCUGAGGGUGAGGUCCUAGUGUUAGUAACAGGAGGAAAACCCAGCAGUCUGGAGGAGAGACCUCUUCCCAGGGCAGCCCAGGGGCCAUCAGGAGGGUUCAUCUCAUGCAUUAGAGGUCUUGGGAAGAAUGAGGCUUCCUUUCCUCCAUCAAAGCAAGCAAAUCCUUUAAAAGCUGCAUCUCCAAGGGCUGCUCCGGGCUCAUAGCAAGCAACGUCGGAGCCCAGAGGCAAGGCUGUGCUACUCAGCUGCCCUCUGGGGUCACAAAGGCUUCACUUGGCUUCUAAGAGCUGAUGAGGCCUCUCGCAAGGGACCCUGUGUGCAUGGGCUGACCCUGAAACUUCCCAGCCUCUCUUCUUCUCAGAGCACCCUCAGGUGGCCUCUCGGGGGUUACCCCUCAUUGAUACCAUGUCUCCUCGUGUUUUUGUCCAGACUCCAAUUCCAGGGUUUCAGAACCGCAUCGCAGCAUCUUUCCUGAAAUGCACUCAGACUCAGCCAGCAAAGACGUGCCUGGCCGCAUCCUGCUGGAUAUAGACAAUGAUACCGAGAGCACUGCCCUGUGAAGAAAGCCCUUUCCCAGCCCUCCACCACUUCCACCCUGGCGAGUGGAGCAGGGGCAGGCGAACCUCUUUCUUUGCAGACCGAACAGUGAAAAGCUUUCAGUGGAGGACAAAGGAGGGCCUCACUGUGCGGGACCUGGCCUUCUGCACGGCCCAAGGAGAACCUGGAGGCCACCACUAAAGCUGAAUGACCUGUGUCUUGAAGAAGUUGGCUUUCUUUACAUGGGAAGGAAAUCAUGCCAAAAAAAUCCAAAACAAAGAAGUACCUGGAGUGGAGAGAGUAUUCCUGCUGAAACGCGCAUAGGAAGCUUUUGUCCCUGCUGUUAAUGCGGGCAGCACCUACAGCAACUUGGAAUGAGUAAGAAGCAGUGCGUUAACUAUCUAUUUAAUAAAAUGCGCUCAUUAUGCAAGUCGCCUACUCUCUGCUACCUGGACGUUCAUUCUUAUGUAUUAGGAGGGAGGCUGCGCUCCUUCAGACUUGCUGCAGAAUCAUUUUGUAUCAUGUAUGGUCUGUGUCUCCCCAGUCCCCUCAGAACCAUGCCCAUGGAUGGUGACUGCUGGCUCUGUCACCUCAUCAAACUGGAUGUGACCCAUGCCGCCUCGUUGGAUUGUCGGAAUGUAGACAGAAAUGUACUGUUCUUUUUUUUUUUUUUAAACAAUGUAAUUGCUACUUGAUAAGGACCGAACAUUAUUCUAGUUUCAUGUUUAAUUUGAAUUAAAUAUAUUCUGUGGUUUAUAUG